AGAGUUUGAUCCUGGCUCAGGAUGAACGCCGGCGGUGUGCCUAAUACAUGCAAGUCGUACGCACUGGCCCAACUGAUUGAUGGUGCUUGCACCUGAUUGACGUUGGAUCACCAGUGAGUGGCGGACGGGUGAGUAACACGUAGGUAACCUGCCCCGGAGCGGGGGAUAACAUUUGGAAACAGAUGCUAAUACCGCAUAACAACAAAAGCCGCAUGGCUUUUGUUUGAAAGAUGGCUUUGGCUAUCACUCUGGGAUGGACCUGCGGUGCAUUAGCUAGUUGGUAAGGUAACGGCUUACCAAGGCGAUGAUGCAUAGCCGAGUUGAGAGACUGAUCGGCCACAAUGGAACUGAGACACGGUCCAUACUCCUACGGGGGGCAGCAGUAGGGAAUCUUCCACAAUGGGCGCAAGCCUGAUGGAGCAACACCGCGUGAGUGAAGAAGGGUUUCGGCUCGUAAAGCUCUGUUGUUGGAGAAGAACGUGCGUGAGAGUAACUGUUUACGCAGUGACGGUAUCCAACCAGAAAGUCACGGCUAACUACGUGCCAGCAGCCGCGGUAAUACGUAGGUGGCAAGCGUUAUCCGGAUUUAUUGGGCGUAAAGCGAGCGCAGGCGGUUGCUUAGGUCUGAUGUGAAAGCCUUCGGCUUAACCGAAGAAGUGCAUCGGAAACCGGGCGACUUGAGUGCAGAAGAGGACAGUGGAACUCCAUGUGUAGCUGUGGAAUGCGUAGAUAUAUGGAAGAACACCAGUGGCGAAGGCGGCUGUCUGGUCUGCAACUGACGCUGAGGCUCGAAAGCAUGGGUAGCGAACAGGAUUAGAUACCCUGGUAGUCCAUGCCGUAAACGAU
rnacentral:rRNA from 1 species